rnacentral:rRNA from 1 species
UACGUAGGGUGCGAGCGUUAAUCGGAAUUACUGGGCGUAAAGCGUGCGCAGGCGGUUCUCCAAGUCGGGUGUGAAAUUUCGGAGCUUAACUCCGAAACUGCAUUCGAUACUGCUGUGCUUGAGGACUGGAGAGGAGACUGGAAUUUACGGUGUAGCAGUGAAAUGCGUAGAGAUCGUAAGGAAGACCAGUGGCGAAGGCGGGUCUCUGGACAGUUCCUGACACUGAGGCACGAAGGCCAGGGGAGCAAACGGG